AAUAAUUCAUUUUUAUUUUUUCCUAAAUUUAUUUGACAACUGAGAAUAUGGGGUCGGCAGUUGGGUUGAACAUUUUCUUGUUUUGACAGGCUUAUGAUGAUAUCCCAAAGGAGAUACCUGAUCCUGAUGCCAUAAAGCCUGAAGAUUGGGAUGAUGAAGAAGAUAGUGAGUGGACACCCACAACAAUGCUUAAUCCAGACUACCAGGGUCCAUGGAAGACAAAGAUAUGUGGAAUUUCUACGUUAAAUUUAUGUAACUGUUGCCAUUAGAAACCACUGAUUUAUAACUAGUAAGUUCCUUUUUUUAGAAAAUUAAGAAUCCCAACUAGCAGGGCAAGUGGAAGGCACCUAUGAUUGGCAACCUAGGUUGCUCUAAAUCUUUACGUUACAUGUUUCAUUAACACCGAAAAAUUGCUACUAUGGUGUUUUGAAAAAUUGGUAAAAAAUUGAUUUUUUCAUUUUUUUGUGACUUUUUAGCUUUUUGUGUGAAAAAAGUAGAGGUGAUAUGGCCCAAGAAAAUCAAAACCCCAAAAAACUGACUUUUUACUAUGUUGCCAAAAUGCUGCAGAGUUCAAAGGUGACGAUGAUCUCUAUGUUUUCCCGAAGUUGAAGUACGUGGGCAUUGAAUUGUGGCAGGUGAAAUCUGGAACCCUGUUCGACAUUGUCUUGAUUUGUGAUGAUCCGGAGUGUGCAAUGAAGCUGGCAAAGGAAACAUGAGAACUUUUGAGACCCAUGAGGAGAGGUCCGUGUCAUUUGCCAAUAAUCAUGAGUCUAGUUGUAAUUUUGGUAAUAUUUGGAAGCUCACUGUAAUUUACCGAAGAAUCUUGCUAACUGUUUCAAAACUUUGCACACAAAGCUUAGGUGAGACCACGAGCAACUCCGGGAAGGAGGCAAAAGAGUUAUAUGAGGUAUUUUUUUUUAGUGAAAUUGUUUUAGCUUUGUAUUAUAAGAGGCAUUUUAUUUAUUUUUAU